UACGUAGGGUCCGAGCGUUGUCCGGAAUUACUGGGCGUAAAGAGCUCGUAGGUGGUUUGUCGCGUUGUUCGUGAAAACUCACAGCUCAACUGUGGGCGUGCGGGCGAUACGGGCAGACUAGAGUACUGCAGGGGAGACUGGAAUUCCUGGUGUAGCGGUGGAAUGCGCAGAUAUCAGGAGGAACACCGGUGGCGAAGGCGGGUCUCUGGGCCACUACUGACGCUGAGAAGCGAAAGCAUGGGGAGCAAACAGG
rnacentral:rRNA from 1 species